rnacentral:rRNA from 1 species
GUCCUUUUGAAUGUAUUUAAGGUCUGACCUGCCCAGUGAUUUAUUUUAACGGCCGCGGUAUAUUGACCGUGCAAAGGUAGCAUAAUCAUUAGUCUUUUAAAAGAGGGCUGGAAUGAAAGGUUUGACGAGGUAUUAACUGUCUCAUUUUAUUUGUAUUUAGAAUUUAACUUUUUAGUCAAAAGGCUUAAAUUUAAUUGGAAGACGAGAAGACCCUAUAGAGCUUUAUAAUAAUUAUUUUAAUUAUAAAUAUAUAAUUUUUAACUAAAUAUUUUAUUAUUUUGUUGGGGUGACAGAAAAAUAAAAUUAACUUUUUUAUUUAUAUAACAUUAAUUUAUGGUUAUUUGAUCCAUUAUUAUUGAUUAUUAGAUUAAGUUACCUUAGGGAUAACAGCGUAAUCCCCUUCCAGAGUUCAUAUUUACGAGUGGGGCUUGCGACCUCGAUGUUGGAUUAAGAUAAUAAUUAGGUGUAGCCGCUUAGUUUAUAGGUCUGUUCGACCUUUAAAUUCUU